GCAGUUGGCAACUUGGCAUGGAAGCCAUACCAUAUUCUUUUUUUCUUAUUAAUCUUUUCAUUUUAUUUUUCUUUCUUUUAUAAAUAUAAAUAUAAAUAUAAAUUUGGCUUUUUUUAAUAACUAACGCCAUUCCAUUCCAUUACAAAAUCAAAAUCCCCAACCAAAAAUCACAACCACAGCUACAACAACGACAACAAUCUCUAAUCUUUGAGAGGAAUUGAAAAAAGAAUCAAAGUGAAGACUUGUGACAUUGUGGCAAUCAUGAGAUUUAAGAAAGGGAGCAAAGUGGAAGUCUUCAGCAAAAUAGAUGUUCCUUCAGGCUCUUGGCGUUGCGCUGAAAUUAUCUGUGGUAACGGCCACACUUAUACAGUUAGAUAUGAGGCACAUGCAGGUUCCAUUAGUGAGAGAACAGUUGAGAGGAUAUCCAGGAAGGCAAUUCGGCCUUGCCCUCCAUUACCUGAAAUUGCAGAGAAUUGGGCUCCUGGAGAUGUGGUAGAGGUGUUUGAUGAUUUUUCUUGGAAAAUGGCAACAAUAUCUAAGGUGCUGGGAAAAAAAUAUUUUUUGGCCAGGAUAGUUGGAUCAUCACUUGAAUUUAAAGUGAGCAAAUCUGGCAUUCGGACAAGACAGUCUUGGCAAGAUGGAAAAUGGAUUGUGAUCGGAAAGGGUUCUGGCAGUUAUGAAGACACAAAACAUGAUGAAAAUGUAACUCUGAAAUGCAAGCAAAACUCUCAGAACAAUGUUCAGAUGAGAAGUACAAGGCUAAAAGUUGGUUCCUUUCGUAUGAGGAAUAAGGAGACACUCAAGGGAUCCAAUAUUGUUUCCUGUAGAACUUUAAAGCGAGGUCCAUGUGGCUAUAAACAAGUUGAAACGUAUGAUGGUGCUGCCCAAAAAUUUAGAGCAGUUGAGAAAGAGGGCAGGCUGCAUCGAGUGCUUGCAGCAAAUCAAUCUUCAUUUGCUCAACAGGGAGAUGAUGUUGCUUUCCCGAAAGAAAUGGUGGGUGAAAAAAACAUGCAUUCCUCUUUUUACAGCCAAACUGGUUUUACUGAAAUCGAUGUGGAGAGAAGAAAACAAAGUGGUGCCGUUGGAUGUUCUUCUGCAAUAGAAGUAGAUUCUAAUGAUGAAGAGAGCAUUACUAGCUCAGUUGGUAGUUGUAGCACCACUAGCAAUAAUUACUAUAAAAUGCAUCAUCGUGCAGGUUUUAUUGAAGAUAUUGAUGGCAAUUUUAGUGAUGCAGAAUCUUUCUGUCACCGGGGAUAUGAGGAAGGGACUAAUUGUUUUCCCACAAAUGAGGAAUUGGCUGCUGAAGUCCAUAGGUUAGAGUUACAUGCCUACCGUUGCACUAUGGAGGCAUUGUAUGCAUCAGGGCCUUUUAGUUGGGAGCAGGAAGAAAUGGUGACAAAUCUCCGUCUUUCCCUCCAUAUAUCAAAUGAUGAACAUUUGAUGGAGGGACAGAGUAGGAGGCUUGCACACCUCACUUCUUCCCAGUGUUAAAAGAUGAUGUUGGAGUUUGCUACAACUCAUACAACACAUAAUGUUGAGCCACUGAUUUUGGUAAUUUAUGUGAUUGCCAUACUUUCUGUUUGGCUGUCUCUAGGCCUCACAAAUCUUAUUUUGCUGAAGGAUGUGACCUGAAUGUAGUUGCUGCCAUGGGAUGACCAGAUAAAUGGAUGCCUGGAAAAUUUUAGUUUGGGACCUUUCCUUAAUUCAUCCAUAUAUAGCAUCUCUUGAGUUUUGAUAUCACUUUAGUUUAUUUGGUUCUCUAUUAUUUCAUAGCAUUAUGCUUGUCAUUCGCACAAAUUCAUUCUUUCUUUAAUUUUGUGAAGAAUGUGAAAGUGACAAUCUGUUGAAGCUCUAGGUGGAACACCUCAAGCCUGGAACUGAUAAUCAUUGGUAAGAAUGUAGCAAUGAAGUAGCACAAUAUUCUUUUAAAGCUUGGAGCUAUUAAAUGAAGCCUAGAAAGAAUAGUGUGAUUUAACAGAUAAACUGGAAGACGGGUUGCUGUUAAAUCUUCGUGCCAGUAUCAAGAAAGAUAAUGAUCAAACGAAUUGAGAUUUAUUUCUAUUGCAGUGACAGGAAGGGAGCAGACAGUUUGUGCAUAUGCAAAUGUACCAAGUUUCGAACAUUUCUUGCAGAGACGAGAACAGCCAAAUUCUGAUGGCGGAGAGCUAUUAUUGCGAAUGAUACGAGGUUUCCGAGUUGAUGGAUGAAGACAGAAUGCACAAACCUGAUGAGAACAUGCUUAUGGUAUUAUUUUGUGAAAUUGAGAGAGAGACCCGCACACGAAAAGAAGAAACUGCGGUGAGGUAUCUGCUCAUAGAACUUCAAAUAAAACUUCAGCACUGGCCUGAUUCAUUUGCAGUUAUAUGGUCACUGGUGCAGAUGAUUGUUGAAUGCUUUGGUGUUAUGGGACAUAGUUCAUCGCAAACCUGCUAAAACUGGAGCAUUCCUUUAGCAGAACCUUACUUUUUGAGUUUGGACAGGCAAGCAGGUUGUACUGCAGAAUGCAGAUGGUGGACCUGUUAACUGCACUUUUGAACUUCUAUAAACAGCUUGCGGCCCCAAACAUUUCACAACCUUUUAUGCUUUCCUUUAAACAUUUAAAUGGAGUUGGUUUCUUCAUUAAGACAUUAUGCAACUCUUUAGUAUCAAGACUUGUACCUUCAAUGUGAGACUGUAACAUUAUAGAAGAAUAUUAACCUUUGAUUAAAGCAAGCCUGCCUUUCUUUUCUUUUUUUGUUUCUGACACACCUAAACUUCUUUUUCAUAAUAAUUAAACACUUUUUCCACAACAUGGUUUCAUUA